ensembl:lncRNA
CUCAAAGUGUAUUAUGUGGCUCUCUGUGCAGUAGUCUUACUGUCACAAGGUGACGAUCUUUAGGGGCGGAACCAAAAUUCGGGAAGUUUAGUUCCGCCCGGAAGUGUUUCCGCCCGGACCGGAAAAACAGAACACCGGAAUUUCCGGUAGCGCCGUAAGAAGGAAAAUCAGGGAAUUCGAUGCACCUGUGCCUAGUUAGGGACAGCGGUUGGUGAUUGGAGGAUACGCUGGACAAGGCAGUACUUAAGGCCAAGUUAUUUCACAGUCUGGGAGCUCUUUCUGGCUGGAAUUGUAUGAUUGUGAAGACAUCGCGAACCUUAAAGGUUGAGAAGUGAACGGAUUAUACGGCGAACUGAGACGACGUGAAAAAGGGGAUUGGAAGCGGCAUUGAUGUGAGUACUAAGAGCCAGUCGAAAGUGCCCUGUGUAUUGACCUGGCGUUGUGUAGAUCUCUCCAGGAGGAGGAGGGCGGCCCUACCCCUAAUAUAGCGUGGUGGGAGAGCCGAAGGAAUACUUAUUGAAGUAGUCACAACGACGACAUCACUAGCUAGGCCGCAUAUUCCAUCGCCAGAUCCGAACCAAGCGAAGUGAAGGAAGACGGGUGUCCUUUUCGUACACUGAGUGUGGUGGGUGAGUCUUCAUGCUGUGAAAACCUAUAAUUUUGACGUGGUGCUGUAUAUUGCUGUGGGCUGCUGUGUAUUGCCGUGUGUCCUGUCAGAUAAACCCCCGCCUUCACGCACUUCGUCGCGGGAGGACAAGGAGACUGCUGGUCCUAGCCUAGUUCAGUACAGUAUAUGUUGUGAGCGUGCUUCAGAUCUCCGGAGAUAGCACAGUACGCUGUGUCCAGCCCAGAGGUGAAAGCCAUCCAAAGCAGAGUAACUGUGCUAUUGUGCCCAAGUUGAUACCUGUGGAGAGAAAAGGAGAGAGAGUGAAUAACACGAGGAGGAAUAGAGCGAACCCUGUACUUACAGUACGCUGUGUCCAGCCCAGAGGUGAGAGCCAUUCAAAGCAAACUAACUGUGCUAUUGUGCCCAAGUUGAUACCUGUGGAGAGAAAAGGAGAGAGAGUGGGUAACACGAGGAGAGACCGAGGAAACCUGUACUUACGCCGCUGCCUGUGGAGAAAGAGAAAGCGAGUGAGCACCCAAGGAACGAACUGUGUGAACCAGUACUUACUGUGAGCUGUAAUCAGCGAAGAGGUGAGAGCAAAACCAAGCUGAACUAACUGUGCCUGUGUGUCCCAGCCGUUGCCUGUGGAGGAAGAGAAAGAGAGUGAGCACCCCGAGAACGAACUGUGUGAACCAGUACUUACCGUGAGCUGUAUUCAGCGAAGAGGAGGAAGAAGGAGGGCGCUACGGAUACCUAAGACUCAGGCCGGGGCCCGAGUCCCACGCCCCGGAUCCCCGUGGCCCCCUUGCUCCCUGACCUCUUCCCGGCCAUAGCCCAUCUGGAGGGCCGAGUCAGAGUUUAGUUUUAAUUGCCCUUUUCCUAUUCCCCAAGCUAUUUUUAAAUAUUUAAAUAAAGAUUGUUUUAUCACUUACUUGUUCUCG